GGUUGCUAGGGUGUUCCUAUGCGGUUGAUAAGGUACCUGGGGUGGUUGCUAGGGUGUUGCUAUGCGGUUGCUAAG